GUAGGGUCCAAGCGUUAAUCGGAAUUACUGGGCGUAAAGCGUGCGCAGGCGGUUGUGCAAGACCGAUGUGAAAAUCCCCCGGGGCUUUAACCUGGGAAUUGCAUUGGUGACUGCACGGCUAGAGUGUGUCAGAGGGGGGUAGAAUUCCACGUGUAGCAGUGAAAUGCGUAGAGAUGUGGAGGAAUACCGAUGGCGAGGGCAGCCCCCUGGGAUAACACUGACGCUCAUGCACGAAAGCGUGGGGAGCAAACAGGAUUAGAUACCCUGGUAGUCCACGCCCUAAACGAUGUCAACUAGUUGUUGGGGAUUCAUUUCCUUAGUAACGUAGCUAACGCGUGAAGUUGACCGCCUGGGGAGUACGGUCGCAAAGAUUA
rnacentral:rRNA from 1 species